AACGAACGCUGGCGGCAGGCUUAACACAUGCAAGUCGAGCGCCCCGCAAGGGGAGCGGCAGCCGGGUGAGUAACGCGUGGGAAUCUACCCAUCUCUACGGAAUAACGCAUGGAAACGUGUGCUAAUACCGUAUACGUCCUUCGGGAGAAAGAUUUAUCGGAGAUGGAUGAGCCCGCGUUGGAUUAGCUAGUUGGUGGGGUAAAGGCCUACCAAGGCGACGAUCCAUAGCUGGUCUGAGAGGAUGAUCAGCCACACUGGGACUGAGACACGGCCCAGACUCCUACGGGAGGCAGCAGUGGGGAAUAUUGGACAAUGGGCGCAAGCCUGAUCCAGCCAUGCCGCGUGAGUGAUGAAGGCCCCAGGGUUGUAAAGCUCUUUCACCGGUGAAGAUAAUGACGGUAACCGGAGAAGAAGCCCCGGCUAACUUCGUGCCAGCCGCCGCCGUAAGAC
rnacentral:rRNA from 1 species